rnacentral:lncRNA from 1 species
GGCAGGGCAAGAGCUUCAUGCUUUUCUCUGCCCACUGAGGCUGGGUACCACCAGAUGCUCCUCAGUAGUGGGAGGGGCCGGGGCAGGUACAUGGGUGGGAUCUGCAAGCCUUUGGCUCUGUUUUGUGGCACAGUGCAUCUGCCUCGAUGACUCAUCUCACUCCAUUUCUGUUUCCUACAGGCGGUACGAUUUAUCGUUUGACAUUGCUUCUCAGAUACAUUAUCCAGGACUACACAAAGGCUGAGCUUAUAAGUAGACUCGAGAAUAAUGUAAACACAUUGAGGCCUUUUCUAAAUAUCGUCAAGCUCGGCUCCUCAGAAGUCCAUGCCUGUACCGGCUUCAGAAAACGAGUGCGGGUGCAGGCUCCUGCUGUGUGGAUAGACACUCGGUCAAGACAGUGCUAGAAGCUACCUCAAACGGUACAGAUUCACAUGAAUUUUCCUGAAUCGUUUUUAUUUUUAACAGCUUUAUUAGGCUUGA